rnacentral:rRNA from 1 species
CGGAUUGAAGGCUGAAAUUCGCCUUCAUGAAGCUGGAAUUGCUGUAAUGGCAGGUCAGCAUACUGCCGUGAAUACGUUCCCGGGCCUUGUACACACCGCCCGUCACACCAUGAGAGUUGGGAAUACCCGAAGCCUGUGAGCUAACUGUAAGGAGGCGGCAGUCGAAGGUAGAAUCAAUGAUUGGGGUGAAGUCGUAACAAGGUACC